GACGAACGCUGGCGGCGUGCCUAACACAUGCAAGUCGAACGGAAAGGCCUCUUUCGGGGGGUACUCGAGUGGCGAACGGGCGAGUAACACGUGAGUAACCUGCCCUUGACUUUGGGAUAACUUCAGGAAACGGGGGAUAAUACCGGAUAGGAGAUCCUGCUUCCGGGUGGGGGCUGGAAAGUUUCGGCGGUUGGGGGUGGAUUCGAGGCGUAUCCGCUUGUUGGUGGGGGAGUGGCUUACCAACGCUUUGACGGGUAGCCGGCCAGUGGGAGUGACAGGCGGCAUUGAGACUGAGGUGCGGCCGCGGCUCCUACUGGUGGCAGAAGGGGGGAAGCUUGCACAAUGGGUGGAGGCCUGAUGCAGCAGCGCCGUGUGCGGUAUAACGCUCUUCGUGUUGUAGACCGCUUUCGCUCUUGACCACGCUUUUUGUGACGGUAGUGGGUAAAGAAGCACCGGCUAACUACGUG
rnacentral:rRNA from 1 species